GACGUAGGGUGCAAGCGUUGUCCGGAGUUACUGGGCGUAAAGGGCGCGUAGGCGGUUAUCCGCGUCGCACGUGAAAGCCCCCGGCUCAACCGGGGAGGGUCGUGCGAGACGGGGUAACUGGAGGCAGGGAGAGGCUGGUGGAAUUCCCGGUGUAGUGGUGAAAUGCGUAGAGAUCGGGAGGAACACCUGAGGCGAAGGCGGCCAGCUGGCCCUGACCUGACGCUGAGGCGCGAAGGCUCGGGGAGCGAACGGG
rnacentral:rRNA from 1 species